UCUGCCUUCCAUUUCCUGCAAUCGCUUUUUUUUCUUUUCUGCUCCACGUCUACACGUGUUGGUCAUCGCGGAAAGAAAAGGGCAUCCCCCAUCGCCGACGAAAGCAGUGGAAAAACCAUUUGCUUCCAUUCGCCGAUCUUAGAAAGGGCAUCCCCCAUCGCCGUUCUCGAGUUCUUUUCUUAUUUGUGUGCCAAUUGUGGUGCUCUCUUGGGGUUUCUGUACGCGUUGGUCAUCUGGAAGGGAAAGAAAAAUCUGUGCAACUGGGGUCUCUCACUCAUUCCACUCUGUGUAAUUCCACUUUUCUAAAAAAAAAAAAUUACAAAAUUGGCUCUCCAGGACUGGAACUGGAAGUAUGAGGGUGAUCUAAUUUUUCUGGCUUUUCAAGAGCAGCGGCAUGAGUUGAAGAUUACGGUGUUCGAUUGAUUUCAAUGGGCCAUAUCUCAUAUAAACAACAAGUGAAAGGUUUACAGGACAUUAACCAAUUACUUGGGCUAUUAGUUCCUUUUACUUUGUGAUGUCCCUUGGUGUGAGUAAAAAAAAUGUUCAGAUUUUGUCUCUGUAAUCAGAUGGUUGAUAUCACUGAUUGAUUUCAUUGUUCUUCACUUUCAAGAAGCAUCGGUGUUUAUUGAAGGUUCCUACAGCCAAAUUGGAAUCAAUCUGAAAGAACUGUGUCUAUUCGCCGUCUUCAAGUUUGACUCGAGUACCUCUAGAAAAUAUCUAUGCAUGGACCACUACUGUAACCCGUUCUCAACCGAUGAACUUCAAACUAUGGUGGAUGCUUUGACAACAAAGCGGGGUGACAACGAAGGGGGAGGCGUUAAUGAGCGGCUAGUAAACCAGGUAAUGCAAUCUCGAACCAAUUCAUGCUCGUCAAGACACGAUGCACACGCUCGAUCGUAUAUU